AUAUGUCAAUGCAGUUGUUAUUGACAAUGCACAAAAAAAAAUAUUUUUUAAUAUCGAUAUUAGAAAACAUUGAUGUUUUUGGACCAAUAUUUUCUAACAUCAGUGUUACCUUUCGAUGGUUUUAUCAGUGUUAAAUGUUGGUGUUUUCUUAUCGAUGUUCAACUCUAGUUAGCAGACACCUAGUAAUAUAGAUGCUGACUUGAGUCAAGUGUGUGAAAUUAGCAGUUUUAUACAGUACCUUAUGGGAAGUGAAUAUGAGGAUAAUUAGAAAAGUAGUGAAAAAAUGCAAAAGAGAGCUUGCUUAUAAAAGGCAUUCAACUAUCUUUAAUAAUUAAGAAAUGAUGUUAUAAAAAAAGAACAAAGAACAGUGGAUAUAUGUAAUACCAUUCUAUAAUAAAGAUCUAAAACAAAAUAAAGAAUACAUUAAUAUCACAAAAUGAAAUUUGGAAAAGAUAGACUGGUUGAACAUAAAACUGACAUAAGUCUAAGAAGAACAGGAGCAGCACUUAUCAAAUGCUUUUAUGAGUAUAAUUUAGUUGUUGGUUGGAAAGGAGAUAGUGAUAACCCUGUACAAAAUCAUGAGAGAGGGUUUAAUGAAAGAAUCACUUUAAAUGUUAAAAAGAACCAAACAUAUGAAUAUUGUGAAUGGUAAUCAACCAGAUAAUUCACCAAAUUCGUGGAUACAUUCAGUUCAG
rnacentral:lncRNA from 1 species